CCUACGGGUGGCAGCAGUGAGGAAUAUUGGUCAAUGGACGAGAGUCUGAACCAGCCAAGUAGCGUGAAGGAUGACUGCCCUAUGGGUUGUAAACUUCUUUUAUAUGGGAAUAAAAUGUUCCACGUGUGGGAUUUUGUAUGUACCAUAUGAAUAAGGAUCGGCUAACUCAGUGCCAGCAGCCGGGGUAAUACGGAGGAUCCGAGCGUUAUCCGGCUUUAUUGGGUUUAAGGGGAGCGUAGGUGGAUUGUUAAGUCAGUUGUGAAAGUUUGCGGCUCAACCGUAAAAUUGCAGUUGAAACUGGCAGUCUUGAGUACAGUAGAGGUGGGCGGAAUUCGUGGUGUAGCGGUGAAAUGCUUAGAUAUCACGAAGAACUCCGAUUGCGAAGGCAGUUCACUGGACUGCAACUGACACUGAGGCUCGAAAGUGUGGGUAUCAAACAGGAUUAGAUACCCCUGUAGUC
rnacentral:rRNA from 1 species